AUUGAACGCUGGCGGCAGGCCUAACACAUGCAAGUCGAACGAGUGGCGGACGGGUGAGUAAUGUCUGGGAAACUGCCUGAUGGAGGGGGAUAAAUACUGGAAACGGUAGCUAAUACCGCAUACCAUCGGAUGUGCCCAGAUGGGUUGAGCUUGUAGGUGGGGUAAAGGCUCACCUAGGCGACGAUCCCUAGCUGGUCUGAGAGGAGGACCAGCCAAACUGGAACGUAGACACGGGCCAGACUCCUACGGGAGGCAGCAGUGGGGAAUAUUGCACAAGGGGCGCAAGCCGGAUUGCGGCAUGCCGCGUGUAUGAAGAAGGCCUUCGGGUUGUAAAGUACUUUCAGCGGGGAGGAGUUGCCCGUAGGAGAAGCACCGGGUAACUCCGUGCCAGCAGCCGCGGUAAUAC
rnacentral:rRNA from 1 species